rfam:Pelodiscus sinensis unplaced genomic scaffold scaffold189, whole genome shotgun sequence.
UUGAAGCAAAGUUCUGUGACACUCAGACUCUGAUUAUGAUAGAAGUCAGUGCACUACAGAACUUUGUCUCUGG